CAAUAGCGUAUAUUUAAGUUGUUGCAGUUAAAAAGCUCGUAGUCGGAUUUUGGCUGAGAACGAUCGGUCCGCCGUUAGGUGUGCACUGAUUGGUCUCAGCUUCUUGGUGAGGAGGUGUGCUUCACGGCCACUUAGUCACCGUGGUUACUUUGAAAAAAUUAGAGUGUUCAAAGCGGGCUUACGCUUGAAUAUAUUAGCAUGGAAUAACACCAUAGGACUCCUGUCCUAUUUCGUUGGUCUCGGGACGGGAGUAAUGAUUAAGAGGAACAGUUGGGGGCAUUCGUAUUUCAUUGUCAGAGGUGAAAUUCUUGGAUUUAUGAAAGACGAACUUCUGCGAAAGCAUUUGCCAAGGAUGUUUUCAUUGA
rnacentral:rRNA from 1 species